rnacentral:rRNA from 1 species
UAGAGUUUGAUCCUGGCUCAGGAUGACCUCUAGCUACAGGCUUAACACAUGCAAGUCGAGGGGCAUCAUGGAGUUUGCUUGCAAACUCUGAUGGCGACCGGCGCACGGGUGAGUAACGCGUAUCCAACCUUCCCUAUAGUAGAGGAUAGCCCGGCGAAAGUCGGAUUAAUACUCUAUGUUUUCCGUUGCAGACAUCUAAGAUGGAACAAAGGCUUGCCGCUAUAGGAUGGGGAUGCGUCUGAUUAGGUAGUCGGCGGGGUAACGGCCCACCGAGCCAUCGAUCAGUAGGGGUUCUGAGAGGAAGGUCCCCCACAUUGGAACUGAGACACGGUCCAAACUCCUACGGGAGGCAGCAGUGAGGAAUAUUGGUCAAUGGGCGAGAGCCUGAACCAGCCAAGUAGCGUGCAGGACGACGGCCCUAUGGGUUGUAAACUGCUUUUAUGCGGGGAUAAAGUUCACUACGUGUAGUGUUUUGUAGGUACCGCAUGAAUAAGGACCCGGCUAAUUCCGUGCCAGCAGCCGCGGUAAUACGGAAGGUCCGGGCGUUAUCCGGAUUUAUUGGGUUUAAAGGGAGCGCAGGCCGGAGGUCAAGCGUGACGUGAAAUGUAGCCGCUCAACGGCUGAACUGCGUCGCGAACUGGCUUUCUUGAGUGAGUUCGAUGUGGGCGGAAUUCGUGGUGUAGCGGUGAAAUGCUUAGAUAUCACGAAGAACUCCGAUUGCGAAGGCAGCCCACAAGGCCUUUACUGACGCUAAAGCUCGAAGGUGCGGGUAUCGAACAAGAUUAGAUACCCUGGUAGUCCGCACGGUAAACGAUGGAU